UCUAAACAUCCCAUUAUGACUUCACAUGCUCGCCACCUGGAUGGAGAUGGAUGUUCAGACUUCAGAAACUGAUAUUCUGGGGUCUCCUCCAACUCGCUUGUGGCGAAGAAAGGGAAAAGUCAGAUGAAUAUGGCCUAUCUACUGAUCAUCAUAACAUUAGUGACCGUCCACAAGAAAAGAUUAGUAGCAAGUUGUUGGGAUUCUGUCCAUUUUGCUUCAAUUACAACAUACAAGAGUUUGUUUUGCUCAGAAUGAUAGAAUAAACUUGUGACUCUGUCAGAUCCUAUUGGUUGUUUGUGAGAGUAUAACAUUGUCACAAAUAUCUUGUAUAUAAGAAAUGUAACUAACAUGAAACAUUAAACAAAAACAUAUCAACCAUAUUACUGAA